CAUUUACGAUGCUGUUUUAAUUUGUUUUCUAUUUUUAGUUAUCCUGUACUGGACCUCUUAUUCUAUAACCCUUUCUGGUACCCCUCGAUACCUGUAUAUAUCCACCUGAGUUUAGGUUUUUGGGCCUCUUUGGACCGGGUAAAAUCACCUGCACGUUCUUCCUGAUAUUAUCAGUUUCGUUAGUUCAAUUGUAAAAAUUUUAUUAUACAGACACGGCUUCUGAGGUCCCGAAUAUCGAACACUGAUUGUGUUGUGUACAGGAAUGGAGUGACCUGUGAAGUUCAGUGUACCAGUGUCCUGACGACGACUAUCAGUCCAUGAAUUUGUUUGAAAUUUCGUGUAAUAUAAAUUGUGAAAACGUUA